GAUGAACGCUAGCGGGAGGCCUAACACAUGCAAGCCGAGCGGUAGAGAUCUUUCGGGAUCUUGAGAGCGGCGUACGGGUGCGGAACACGUGUGCAACCUGCCUUUAUCAGGGGGAUAGCCUUUCGAAAGGAAGAUUAAUACCCCAUAAUAUUUAGAAUGGCAUCAUUUUAAAUUGAAAACUCUGGUGGAUAGAGAUGGGCACGCGCAAGAUUAGAUAGUUGGUGAGGUAACGGCUCACCAAGUCUGCGAUCUUUAGGGGGCCUGAGAGGGUGAUCCCCCACACUGGUACUGAGACACGGACCAGACUCCUACGGGAGGCAGCAGUGAGGAAUAUUGGACAAUGGGUGCGAGCCUGAUCCAGCCAUCCCGCGUGAAGGAUGACGGCCCUAUGGGUUGUAAACUUCUUUUGUACAGGGAUAAACCUAGAUACGUGUAUCUAGCUGAAGGUACUGUACGAAUAAGCACCGGCUAACUCCGUGUCAGCAGCCGCGGUAAUACGGAGGGUGCAAGCGUUAUCCGGAUUUAUUGGGUUUAAAGGGUCCGUAGGCGGAUCUGUAAGUCAGUGGUGAAAUCUCACAGCUUAACUGUGAAACUGCCAUUGAUACUGCAGGUCUUGAGUGUUGUUGAAGUAGCUGGAAUAAGUAGUGUAGCGGUGAAAUGCAUAGAUAUUACUUAGAACACCAAUUGCGAAGGCAGGUUACUAAGCAACAACUGACGCUGAUGGACGAAAGCGUGGGGAGCGAACAGGAUUAGAUACCCUGGUAGUCCACGCCGUAAACGAUGCUAACUCGUUUUUGGGAUGCAAGUUUCAGAGACUAAGCGAAAGUGAUAAGUUAGCCACCUGGGGAGUACGUUCGCAAGAAUGAAACUCAAAGGAAUUGACGGGGGCCCGCACAAGCGGUGGAUUAUGUGGUUUAAUUCGAUGAUACGCGAGGAACCUUACCAAGGCUUAAAUGGGAAAUGACAGGUUUAGAAAUAGACUUUUCUUCGGACAUUUUUCAAGGUGCUGCAUGGUUGUCGUCAGCUCGUGCCGUGAGGUGUUAGGUUAAGUCCUGCAACGAGCGCAACCCCUGUCACUAGUUGCCAUCAUUAAGUUGGGGACUCUAGUGAGACUGCCUACGCAAGUAGAGAGGAAGGUGGGGAUGACGUCAAAUCAUCACGGCCCUUACGCCUUGGGCCACACACGUAAUACAAUGGCCGGUACAGAGGGCAGCUACACAGCGAUGUGAUGCAAAUCUCGAAAGCCGGUCUCAGUUCGGAUUGGAGUCUGCAACUCGACUCUAUGAAGCUGGAAUCGCUAGUAAUCGCGCAUCAGCCAUGGCGCGGUGAAUACGUUCCCGGGCCU
rnacentral:rRNA from 1 species